UACGGAGGGUGCGAGCGUUGUCCGGAAUCACUGGGCGUAAAGGGCGCGUAGGUGGCUUAGUAAGCGUGUGGUGAAAGCCCGGGGCUUAACCCCCGGGUCUGCCGUGCGAACUGCUAUGGCUAGAGUACUGUAGAGGCAGGUUGAAUUCCGGGUGUAGCGGUGGAAUGCGUAGAGAUCCGGAAGAAUACCGGUGGCGAAGGCGGCCUGCUGGGCAGUUACUGACACUGAGGCGCGACAGCGUGGGGAGCAAACAGG
rnacentral:rRNA from 1 species